rnacentral:rRNA from 1 species
GGUUAAGUUAGAAAGGGCGCACGGUGGAUGCCUUGGCACUAGGAGCCGAUGAAGGACGGGACGAACACCGAUAUGCUUCGGGGAGCUGUAAGCAAGCUUUGAUCCGGAGAUUUCCGAAUGGGGAAACCCACCACUCGUAAUGGAGUGGUAUCCAUAUCUGAAUACAUAGGAUAUGAGAAGGCAGACCCGGGGAACUGAAACAUCUAAGUACCCGGAGGAAGAGAAAGCAAAUGCGAUUCCCUGAGUAGCGGCGAGCGAAACGGGACCAGCCCAAACCAAGAGGCUUGCCUCUUGGGGUUGUAGGACACUCUGUACGGAGUUACAAAGGAACGAGGUAGAUGAAGAGGUCUGGAAAGGCCCGCCAUAGAAGGUAACAGCCCUGUAGUCAAAACUUCGUUCUCUCCUGAGUGGAUCCUGAGUACGGCGGAACACGUGAAAUUCCGUCGGAAUCCGGGAGGACCAUCUCCCAAGGCUAAAUACUCCCUAGUGACCGAUAGUGAACCAGUACCGUGAGGGAAAGGUGAAAAGCACCCCGGAAGGGGAGUGAAAGAGAUCCUGAAACCGUGUGCCUACAAGUAGUCAGAGCCCGUUAACGGGUGAUGGCGUGCCUUUUGUAGAAUGAACCGGCGAGUUACGAUCCCGUGCAAGGUUAAGCAGAAGAUGCGGAGCCGCAGCGAAAGCGAGUCUGAAUAGGGCGAAUUGAGUACGUGGUCGUAGACCCGAAACCAGGUGAUCUACCCAUGUCCAGGGUGAAGUUCAGGUAACACUGAAUGGAGGCCCGAACCCACGCACGUUGAAAAGUGCGGGGAUGAGGUGUGGGUAGGGGUGAAAUGCCAAUCGAACCUGGAGAUAGCUGGUUCUCUCCGAAAUAGCUUUAGGGCUAGCCUCAAGGUAAGAGUCUCGGAGGUAGAGCACUGAUUGGACUAGGGGCCCCUACCGGGUUACCGAAUUCAGUCAAACUCCGAAUGCCGAUGACUUAUCCUUGGGAGUCAGACUGCGAGUGAUAAGAUCCGUAGUCGAAAGGGAAACAGCCCAGACCGCCAGCUAAGGUCCCAAAGUAUACGUUAAGUGGAAAAGGAUGUGGAGUUGCUUAGACAACCAGGAUGUUGGCUUAGAAGCAGCCACCAUUUAAAGAGUGCGUAAUAGCUCACUGGUCGAGUGACUCUGCGCCGAAAAUGUACCGGGGCUAAACGUAUCACCGAAGCUGCGGACUGUUCUUCGAACAGUGGUAGGAGAGCGUUCUAAGGGCUGUGAAGCAAGACCGGAAGGACUUGUGGAGCGCUUAGAAGUGAGAAUGCCGGUAUGAGUAGCGAAAGAGGGGUGAGAAUCCCCUCCACCGAAUGCCUAAGGUUUCCUGAGGAAGGCUCGUCCGCUCAGGGUUAGUCGGGACCUAAGCCGAGGCCGAAAGGCGUAGGCGAUGGAUAACAGGUUGAUAUUCCUGUACCACCUCCUCACCAUUUGAGCAAUGGGGGACGCAGGAGGAUAGGGUAAGCGCGGUAUUGGAUAUCCGCGUCCAAGCAGUUAGGCUGGGAAAUAGGCAAAUCCGUUUCCCGUGAAGGCUGAGCUGUGAUGGCGAGCGAAUUAUAGUAGCGAAGUUCCUGAUUCCACACUGCCAAGAAAAGCCUCUAGCGAGGUGAGAGGUGCCCGUACCGCAAACCGACACAGGUAGGCGAGGAGAGAAUCCUAAGGUGAUCGAGAGAACUCUCGUUAAGGAACUCGGCAAAAUGACCCCGUAACUUCGGGAGAAGGGGUGCUCUGUUAGGGUGCAAGCCCGAGAGAGCCGCAGUGAAUAGGCCCAGGCGACUGUUUAGCAAAAACACAGGUCUCUGCGAAGCCGUAAGGCGAAGUAUAGGGGCUGACGCCUGCCCGGUGCUGGAAGGUUAAGAGGAGCGCUUAGCGUAAGCGAAGGUGCGAAUUGAAGCCCCAGUAAACGGCGGCCGUAACUAUAACGGUCCUAAGGUAGCGAAAUUCCUUGUCGGGUAAGUUCCGACCCGCACGAAAGGCGCAACGAUCUGGGCACUGUCUCAACGAGAGACUCGGUGAAAUUAUAGUACCUGUGAAGAUGCAGGUUACCCGCGACAGGACGGAAAGACCCCGUGGAGCUUUACUGCAGCCUGAUAUUGAAUGUUGGUACAGCUUGUACAGGAUAGGUAGGAGCCUUGGAAACCGGAGCGCCAGCUUCGGUGGAGGCAUCGGUGGGAUACUACCCUGGCUGUAUUGACCUUCUAACCCGCCGCCCUUAUCGGGCGGGGAGACAGUGUCAGGUGGGCAGUUUGACUGGGGCGGUCGCCUCCUAAAAGGUAACGGAGGCGCCCAAAGGUUCCCUCAGAAUGGUUGGAAAUCAUUCGCAGAGUGUAAAGGCACAAGGGAGCUUGACUGCGAGACCUACAAGUCGAGCAGGGACGAAAGUCGGGCUUAGUGAUCCGGUGGUUCCGCAUGGAAGGGCCAUCGCUCAACGGAUAAAAGCUACCCGGGGAUAACAGGCUUAUCUCCCCCAAGAGUCCACAUCGACGGGGAGGUUUGGCACCUCGAUGUCGGCUCAUCGCAUCCUGGGGCUGUAGUCGGUCCCAAGGGUUGGGCUGUUCGCCCAUUAAAGCGGUACGCGAGCUGGGUUCAGAACGUCGUGAGACAGUUCGGUCCCUAUCCGUCGCGGGCGCAAAAUUUGAGAGGAGCUGUCCUUAGUACGAGAGGACCGGGAUGGACGCACCGCUGGUGUACCAGUUGUUCUGCCAAGGGCAUCGCUGGGUAGCUAUGUGCGGACGGGAUAAGUGCUGAAAGCAUCUAAGCAUGAAGCCCCCCUCAAGAUGAGAUUUCCCAUUCCGCAAGGAAGUAAGAUCCCUGAAAGAUGAUCAGGUUGAUAGGUCUGAGGUGGAAGUGUGGCGACACAUGGAGCUGACAGAUACUAAUCGAUCGAGGACUUAACCAA